rnacentral:tRNA from 1 species
GUUCUCAUAGUUAAAAGUACACAACGAUGGCUUUUCA